AUGGCUGUCGUCAGCUCGUGUCGUGAGAUGUUGGGUUAAGUCCCGCAACGAGCGCAACCCUCAUUUUUAGUUGCCAUCAGGUUAAGCUGGGCACUCUAAAAAAACUGCCGGUGAUAAGCUGGAGGAAGGCGGGGAUGACGUCAAGUCCUCAUGGCCCUUACGGUCUGGGCUACACACGUGCUACAAUGGUGGUGACAGUGGGCAGCGAUACUGCAAAGUAAAGCUAAUCCCAAAAAACCAUCUCAGUUCGGAUUGGACUCUGCAACUCGAGUCCAUGAAGUUGGAAUCGCUAGUAAUCGUAGAUCAGCGUGCUACGGUGAAUACGUUCUCGGGCCUUGUACACACCGCCCGUCACGCCAUGGGAGUUGGUUUUACCUUAAGCCGGUGCGCUAACCGCAAGGAAGCAGCCGUCCACGGUAGGGUCAGCGACUGGGGCGAAGUCGUAACAAGGUAACCGUAGGGGAACCUGCGGUUGGAUCACCUCCUUUCUAAGGAUAUUGAUGUUUGUUUAGGCAAACAUCCGGAUUGUUGUCUAUUUAUCUCUUUAUAAUAUUAGCUAAGUGCUAGGUGUUUCCUUAAUCAAACUGGGCCGGUAGCUCAGUUGGUUAGAGCGCGCGCUUGAUAAGCGUGAGGUCGGAAGUUCAAGUCUUCCUCGGCCCACCAUUUUUCAAGGGGGAUUAGCUCAGCUGGGAGAGCGCCUGAUUUGCAUUCAGGAGGUCAGCGGUUCGAUCCCGCUAUCCUCCACCAUACUUUCUAUUAUUAUAUCUUAUUUGUUCUUUAAAUUUGUGAAUAUGAAACUAAUAACUGAUCAAAAUAAUUUUAUUAUUGAUUAAAAAUACGUACAAAAUUUUUCUCUGUACGUAAUUGCAAUCAAGCGCAAAAGGGCAUUUAGUGGAUGUCUUGGCAUUAAGAGACGAUGAAGGACGUGGCAGGCUGCGAUAAGCUAAGGGGAGUUGUCAACAAACUUUGAUCCUUAGAUAUCCGAAUGGGGAAACCCGG
rnacentral:sRNA from 1 species